CAGUCGCCGCGGGAACACGGAGGGGGCUAGCGUUGUUCGGAAUUACUGGGCGUAAAGCGCACGUAGGCGGCUUGGUAAGUUAGAGGUGAAAGCCUGGAGCUCAACUCCAGAAUUGCCUUUAAGACUGCCGAGCUAGCAGGUGAGAGAGGUAAGUGGAAUUCCGAGUGUAGAGGUGAAAUUCGUAGAUAUUCGGAAGAACACCAGUGGCGAAGGCGGCUUACUGGCUCAUACUGGACGCUGAGGUGCGAAAGCGUGGGGAGCAAACAGGAUUAGAUACCCCAGUAGUCCCUGUCUCUUAUAC
rnacentral:rRNA from 1 species